GCGGUGCCUCAGGGACAAGGCGGACGUACAGUUCUCUGGGAGAAUGGUCAGUUCCAGGACGAGUAGCAGUCAGAUUAUGGACAUGAUUUGGGAAAUGUGUGUGAGAAACAAAACCCAGUUAUAAGUUUUACUGAGAAGGAGUUGACGUCAUCACUGCGUGAGUCGGAGGUGCAUGCACAGCACGAUGGUUUGACUUCGAUGCACUGUGACAGCAGCCGUGUG